rnacentral:rRNA from 1 species
GAUGAACGCUGGCGGCGUGCCUAAUACAUGCAAGUCGAGCGAACAGACGAGGAGCUUGCUCCUCUGACGUUAGCGGCGGACGGGUGAGUAACACGUGGAUAACCUACCUAUAAGACUGGGAUAACUUCGGGAAACCGGAGCUAAUACCGGAUAACAUGUUGAACCGCAUGGUUCAACAGUGAAAGACGGUCUUGCUGUCACUUAUAGAUGGAUCCGCGCCGCAUUAGCUAGUUGGUAAGGUAACGGCUUACCAAGGCAACGAUGCGUAGCCGACCUGAGAGGGUGUUCGGCCACACUGGAACUGAGACACGGUCCAGACUCCUACGGGAGGCAGCAGUAGGGAAUCUUCCGCAAUGGGCGAAAGCCUGACGGAGCAACGCCGCGUGAGUGAAGAAGGUCUUCGGAUCGUAAAACUCUGUUAUUAGGGAAGAACAAAUGUGUAAGUAACUAUGCACGUCUUGACGGUACCUAAUCAGAAAGCCACGGCUAACUACGUG